UACGUAGGGUGCAAGCGUUAAUCGGAAUUACUGGGCGUAAAGCGUACGCAGGCGGCUUGGUAAGACAGAUGUGAAAUCCCCGGGCUCAACCUGGGAACUGCAUUUGUGACUGCCAAGCUCGAGUCUGUCAGAGGGGGGUGGAAUUCCACGUGUAGCAGUGAAAUGCGUAGAGAUGUGGAGGAACACCGAUGGCGAAGGCAGCCCCCUGGGAUGAGACUGACGCUCAUGUACGAAAGCGUGGGGAGCAAACAGG
rnacentral:rRNA from 2 species